rnacentral:misc_RNA from 1 species
GCAAACUUGGUCAUUUAGAGGAAGUAAAAGUCGUAACAAGGUCUCCGUUGGUGAACCAGCGGAGGGAUCAUUACAGAGUAUUCGUACUCCCUAACCUUUGUGAACAUACCACUGUUGCUUCGGCGGAUCCGCCCCGGGCGCGCCCCCACAGGCGUGCACCGGACCCAGGCGCCCGCCGAGGGAAACCAAACUCUUGUUUUUAUAGUGAACUUCUGAGUACCAUAAGCAAAUAAAUUAAAACUUUCAGCAACGGAUCUCUUGGCUCUGGCAUCGAUGAAGAACGCAGC